rnacentral:tRNA from 1 species
GCCUGGGUGGCUCAGUUGGUUAAGCGUCUGACUUCGGCUCAGGUCAUGAUCUCGCGGUCCGUGAGUUCGAGCCCCGCAUCAGGCU